UAGAGUUUGAUCCUGGCUCAGAUUGAACGCUGGCGGCAGGCCUAACACAUGCAAGUCGAGCGGUAACACAGGGGAGCUUGCUCCUUGGGUGACGAGCGGCGGACGGGUGAGUAAUGCCUGGGGAUCUGCCCGAUAGAGGGGGAUAACUACGGGAAACUGUAGCUAAUACCGCAUAAUGUCUACGGACCAAAGUGGGGGCUCUUCGGACCUCAUGCUAUCGGAUGAACCCAGGUGGGAUUAGCUAGUUGGUGAGGUAAUGGCUCACCAAGGCGACGAUCUCUAACUGGUUUGAGAGAAUGACCAGUCACACUGGAACUGAGACACGGUCCAGACUCCUACGGGAGGCAGCAGUGGGGAAUAUUGCACAAUGGGCGCAAGCCUGAUGCAGCCAUGCCGCGUGUGUGAAGAAGGCCUUCGGGUUGUAAAGCACUUUCAGCGGGGAGGAAGGGUCACUAGUUAAUACCUAGUGGCAUUGACGUUACUCGCAGAAGAAGCACCGGCUAACUCCGUGCCAGCAGCCGCGGUAAUACGGAGGGUGCAAGCGUUAAUCGGAAUUACUGGGCGUAAAGCGCACGCAGGCGGUUUGUUAAGUCAGAUGUGAAAUCCCCGAGCUCAACUUGGGAACUGCAUUUGAAACUGGCAAGCUAGAGUCUUGUAGAGGGGGGUAGAAUUCCAGGUGUAGCGGUGAAAUGCGUAGAGAUCUGGAGGAAUACCGGUGGCGAAGGCGGCCCCCUGGACAAAGACUGACGCUCAGGUGCGAAAGCGUGGGGAGCAAACAGGAUAAGAUACCCUGGUAGUCCACGCUGUAAACGAUGUC
rnacentral:rRNA from 1 species